CCUACGGGAGGCAGCAGUGAGGAAUAUUGGUCAAUGGACGAGAGUCUGAGCCAGCCAAGUCGCGUGAAGGAUGACUGCCCUAUGGGUUGUAAACUUCUUUUAUAAAGGAAUAAAACGAGGCACGUGUGCCUUUUUGCAUGUACUUUAUGAAUAAGGAUCGGCUAACUCCGUGCCAGCAGCCGCGGUAAUACGGAGGAUCCGAGCGUUAUCCGGAUUUGUUGGGUUUAAAGGGAGCGUAGAUGGGUUGUUAAGUCAGUUGUGAAAGUUUGCGGCUCAACCGUAAAAUUGCAAUUGAUACUGGCAGUCUUGAGUACAGUUGAGGUAGGCGGAAUUCGUGGUGUAGCGGUGAAAUGCUUAGAUAUCACGAAGAACCCCGAUUGCGAAGGCAGCUUACUAAACUGUGACUGACAUUGAUGCUCGAAAGUGUGGGUAUCAAACAGGAUUAGAUACCCCAGUAGUC
rnacentral:rRNA from 1 species